CUCUCUGUAGUUCAGUUGGUUAGAGCACUGCACCGGAAUCGCAGAGCCGCAGGUUCAAUUCCUGCCAGAGGGC
rnacentral:tRNA from 1 species